rnacentral:lncRNA from 1 species
AGCGCCACACCCCCUCCACCUCCAUUCCCUAUUAACAUUCAAAUCUGUAUCUUUUUACCUUUAUAUCUCUCCAUUGUAGCCUUCAAGUGUGCACUCCUUGGAUGCGUAUUCACACAUCUCCCUUGAGCAAACUGUCUGCUUCAUUGUAAUCAAAACUGGGUGACCAUACUUAUUUUCAUACACAAAUAUUAUUUUAUUAAUUCUAAACCCCACAGUUUUCCUCUUUUGUCUGUACAUGAUUAUAAAAGACAUUUUACAUGAUAAAACGUCUAUGUAUGUAUAUAUAUAUAUUCACAUACUUAUGAACAUAUAUUUUCAAAAGGAACAUUUCACUUUAUUCAAAUAUAUACCUAAUGUGUUUAGUUGAUAAAAAGACACUUUUAAAUUAGUUUCUUUUUUCUUUUCUCUUUCCUUUUAUUCUUGGAUAUUUUACAAUUAUUGCAGCAACAUUCAAACUGUAAAAACAACUAAAACAGCCAAAUGUAUAGUACACUAUGUAUUUAACAGUAAAAAUCCAAUCAACUUAUUUCCUAUUUAAAUAUAUAUAUAUGUGUAUAUAUAAAUAUAUACAGAUAAUCACAUAAAAAUACAUAAACAUGAGCCUAAAUAAAUCCAAUGAUAUAUAUAUAUAUAUAUAUAUAUAUAUACACGGUUUAUGAUAUAGUUAAUGAUAUGGUGUAUGUUUGGUAUGUUUGAUAUGAUGUAUGGUGUAUGUUUGAAAAUUCUUUAAAUAAUAAAAUAGAUUUUUUUUAACAUUUAUUUAUUUUGCAGACAAUUAAAACAGAAAAGAAAAAAAAAAAAAAAAAAUUGCAUGUAUGCUCAUCUACUUUCAAUAUUUUUUAAAACUUUUGAGCUUGUAUUUUUCUUUUUCUUUCUGUGGUAUAUUAUGAAUAUUAACAUCACAAAAGAUUUUUACUGAUAAAUUCAAUAUUAUUGUGUACACAAUUAAUUGAAUUUUAUAUAUAUUUUUGGUUUUGAUGGACAGUAUUAAAAUAUAGUAAAUAUUUUUGAUAUAGCUCAAAAAAAUCAAGCAUAGCUAAUUUUAUUUACUUCCUAAUCUUAGCAGAUAUAAGUGCCAACAGUAGUAACCUUGUGUACAUAGAAACAAGAAUAUUUUAUUUUGCCCUGGAGAAAAUCAAAGUAGCUUAAAUAGAAGCAUUAGGAGCUUAAACAAGAAACCAUCUUCAUCUUUUUUUCAUGUGGAUAUUUCAAAUGAGAUAUUACUAGAACAUAAUAUAAUAGAAUAGAAUAUAGUGAAGCUUAAAACAACUAUUAUUAUUGUUGCAUAUGUGAAAAAAUAUCAUUGCACAACUCUAUCUUUAGUGUAUAUAUUGAUUUUUUCAAUUCUAAUAUAAGAUCCAUAAAAAAAUAUAUUAACUAUGAAAUUAUAAAAGAAGAUUCUU